rnacentral:rRNA from 1 species
GACGAACGCUGGCGGCGUGCUUAACACAUGCAAGUCGAACGGAAAGGCCCUGCUUUUGUGGGGUGCUCGAGUGGCGAACGGGUGAGUAACACGUGAGUAACCUGCCCUUGACUUUGGGAUAACUUCAGGAAACUGGGGCUAAUACCGGAUAGGAGCUCCUGCUGCAUGGUGGGGGUUGGAAAGUUUCGGCGGUUGGGGAUGGACUCGCGGCUUAUCAGCCUGUUGGUGGGGUAGUGGCUUACCAAGGCUUUGACGGGUAGCCGGCCUGAGAGGGUGACCGGCCACAUUGGGACUGAGAUACGGCCCAGACUCCUACGGGAGGCAGCAGUGGGGAAUAUUGCACAAUGGGCGGAAGCCUGAUGCAGCAACGCCGCGUGCGUGAUGACGGCCUUCGGGUUGUAAACCGCUUUCGCCUGUGACGAAGCGUGAGUGACGGUAAUGGGUAAAGAAGCACCGGCUAACUACGUG